rnacentral:rRNA from 1 species
AGAGGGUGCAAGCGUUGUCCGGAAUUACUGGGCGUAAAGCGUGCGCAGGCGGUUAUAUAAGACAGAUGUGAAAUCCCCGGGCUCAACCUGGGACCUGCAUUUGUGACUGUAUAGCUAGAGUACGGUAGAGGGGGAUGGAAUUCCGCGUGUAGCAGUGAAAUGCGUAGAUAUGCGGAGGAACACCGAUGGCGAAGGCAAUCCCCUGGACCUGUACUGACGCUCAUGCACGAAAGCGUGGGGAGCAAACAGGAUUAGAUACCCUGGUAGUCCACGCCCUAAACGAUGUCAACUGGUUGUUGGGUCUUCACUGACUCAGUAACGAAGCUAACGCGUGAAGUUGACCGCCUGGGGAGUACGGCCGCAAGGUUA